GAGUAAUGUCUGGGAAACUGCCUGAUGGAGGGGGAUAACUACUGGAAACGGUGGCUAAUACCGCAUAACGUCGCAAGACCAAAGAGGGGGACCUUCGGGCCUCUUGCCAUCAGAUGUGCCCAGAUGGGAUUAGCUAGUUGGUGAGGUAAUGGCUCACCAAGGCGACGAUCCCUAGCUGGUCUGAGAGGAUGACCAGCCACACUGGAACUGAGACACGGUCCAGACUCCUACGGGAGGCAGCAGUGGGGAAUAUUGCACAAUGGGCGCAAGCCUGAUGCAGCCAUGCCGCGUGUAUGAAGAAGGCCUUCGGGUUGUAAAGUACUUUCAGCGGGGAGGAAGGUGUUGUGGUUAAUAACCGCAGCAAUUGACGUUACCCGCAGAAGAAGCACCGGCUAACUCCGUGCCAGCAGCCGCGGUAAUACGGAGGGUGCAAGCGUUAAUCGGAAUUACUGGGCGUAAAGCGCACGCAGGCGGUCUGUCAAGUCGGAUGUGAAAUCCCCGGGCUCAACCUGGGAACUGCAUUCGAAACUGGCAGGCUUGAGUCUUGUAGAGGGGGGUAGAAUUCCAGGUGUAGCGGUGAAAUGCGUAGAGAUCUGGAGGAAUACCGGUGGCGAAGGCGGCCCCCUGGACAAAGACUGACGCUCAGGUGCGAAAGCGUGGGGAGCAAACAGGAUUAGAUACCCUGGUAGUCCACGCCGUAAACGAUGUCUACUUGGAGGUUGUGCCCUUGAGGCGUGGCUUCCGGAGCUAACGCGUUAAGUAGACCGCCUGGGGAGUACGGCCGCAAGGUUAAAACUCAAAUGAAUUGACGGGGGCCCGCACAAGCGGUGGAGCAUGUGGUUUAAUUCGAUGCAACGCGAAGAACCUUACCUGGUCUUGACAUCCACAGAACUUUCCAGAGAUGGAUUGGUGCCUUCGGGAACUGUGAGACAGGUGCUGCAUGGCUGUCGUCAGCUCGUGUUGUGAAAUGUUGGGUUAAGUCCCGCAACGAGCGCAACCCUUAUCCUUUGUUGCCAGCGGUCCGGCCGGGAACUCAAAGGAGACUGCCAGUGAUAAACUGGAGGAAGGUGGGGAUGACGUCAAGUCAUCAUGGCCCUUACGACCAGGGCUACACACGUGCUACAAUGGCGCAUACAAAGAGAAGCGACCUCGCGAGAGCAAGCGGACCUCAUAAAGUGCGUCGUAGUCCGGAUUGGAGUCUGCAACUCGACUCCAUGAAGUCGGAAUCGCUAGUAAUCGUGGAUCAGAAUGCCACGGUGAAUACGUUCCCGGGCCUUGUACACACCGCCCGUCACACCAUGGGAGUGGGUUGCAAAAGAAGUAGGUAGCUUAACCUUCGGGAGGGCGCUUACCACUUUGUGAUUCAUGACUGGGGUGAAGUCGUAACAAGGUAACCGUAGGGGAACCUGCGGUUGGAUCACCUCCUUACCU
rnacentral:rRNA from 1 species